UACGGGGGGGGUAAGCGUUGUUCGGAAUUACUGGGCGUAAAGGGCUCGUAGGCGGCCAACUAAGUCGGACGUGAAAUCCCUCAGCUUAACUGGGGAACUGCGUCCGAUACUGGAUGGCUUGGAUUUGGGAGAGGGAUGCGGAAUUCCAGGUGUAGCGGUGAAAUGCGUAGAUAUCAAGAGGAACACCUGAGGUGAAGACGGGUUGCUGGGCUGACACUGACGCUGAGGCGCGAAAGCCAGGGGAGCAAACGGG
rnacentral:rRNA from 1 species